rnacentral:tRNA from 1 species
GCCGGGGUGGCCGAGCGGACUAAGGCGCCGGGCUCGAGACCCGGUGCUCCUUUGGAGCGCGUGGGUUCGAAUCCCACCCCCGGCGCCA